GACUUCUGAGGCUCAUGACCACUCAACCUAAGGGACCCCUCCCCAGACCAGAACCAAGUUAGCUAGGGGCAGUCGUACUCCCCGGUCUCCCAGGCAUCCAGCCCCUCCUAGAGCUUGCUGGGCAGGCUGCACCUCAUCUGGGCAGGCACAGAGCUGAUGAAAUGCUGGAGCAGUGCAUGGCAAACAUACACCCCUCCCCCCCCCAGUGUCUUCUGAAACAUUUGGGGCUGACACAAGACCCUUUAGUGUUCGGAAUGACCUCUUUCCUGAAAACCUCUUCCCCUAUCCCUAACGCAUGCAUGGAAAAGGUUUGUCAGGCUGGUUUCCCGAGCCUCCGCCUGAACAUCACACUCACCCUUUUGGGUUUAGCCCAGUGUUGUUUAGCAAAUUUCUCCAGCUGCAGGGAAGGAUCAGAGUAUUAUCUUUUUUUUCGUUUUUCUCCUUGAGCCAGGACUGUACAAGGCAAUGGCCAAACGUAGUUGAAUUCAGCCUACCAUCCUUUGCUGAUGACUCAGCUCUAUGCCAAGUACGGGAGACACAGAGAUGGGUCAGUCCCAGCCCCCAUCCUCAGGAAGCCCAUAGUCAGGGGAACGUUGUAGGGGGAGGUAAUAGAGGGCAAUUGCCUUCAGGGCUCCUGGUGGCUGCUGGUCCCUAUUGUACCUUGAUGUGAGUUAGAAGACGGUGCCCUUUCCAGGUGAUUCAGACCCACACUAGAAUGCGUAGCUUUGUGAGUGACACACAGGUUGGAUUUUGGCACCCCUUUCCCCUUGGCCAGGUGCCCUGCUGCACAGCCAUGUGCUGCAGCCUCGAGGGACACACAGACCAAAGUGUUUCCUUCAGCUUCUUCCUGGUCAUGUUUCCAAGCUUCUGGUCAACUCCAGGCACCACCUCCCAGCCCCCAAACAUGGCCAAGUGAGUGCUUCUCUGCAGGGCCCCUUUCCCUUCUGGAGUCAGUUUGUCCAGGUGAGACCUUGAAGUGAAACUAGAGGUGGCGGAGCCUCACUAGGCCGCAGGCACCAGCCCACAGUACUGGCGGUUACUGUACCAAGCAUUUGGGGCCUGCGCUGGCCAAGCCGUCCGUCACCGGGACUUUGUAGUGCACCCUGUGGGUGGCGUGUGGACACCAGUCUUGAAAGGAAGAGCAUGGCCUGGUGAAAACCCACUGAGCAGAGGGCCAGCUGGCCCUCCUCAGCAUUCCACCCAGGGGAAGAGUUCAGUCCCCACGAAAAUAAGGACUGAGUUAUUUGGCUGCACCUCAGCGUCAAAGCUCAGCCCUGCUAGAGUGGGUUCACCUGGCUGCUGGUUUUGUGGGAGAGUUCCUGACAAGCUGGUUCCUACGUGGUGCAGUAAAAGGAAUUCUGUCCUGGAAGUCCCCAAUGCCACCUCUCAGUCCUGGCUGUCACCAAUCACCUGGGGGACUUGGGCAAGCUACUCAACCUCUGGGGCUCAGUUUCCCUAACUGUAAAAUGGGAUUAUAAUCCCUUCCCUUCCUGACGCAGGAAUUGUUAUGAGGCCCAGAUGAGACGAAAGUCAGCGGUCAGGGCUCUAAGUUGAAAAUGGCUGCAUGGGUGUGGCCCUGCCACUGCAGGGAUGGCCCAAGGUCACACAGGAAGUUUGCUGCGGGAGAAGCCCUCCCCACCAGUCUUCAUCACUUGCCCUGCUUCUCACUUAGGUAGAUGUCAACCA